rnacentral:misc_RNA from 1 species
CCUUAAAGAACCUGCCUUUGUAGUGCUCACACAGAUUGUCUGAUGAAAGUAAAGAAGCAAGGCGUCUUGCGAUUGAGACUUCAGUGUCCCCUUCGUCUAGAGGCCCAGGACACCGCCCUUUCACGGCGGUAACAGGGGUUCGAAUCCCCUAGGGGACGCCACUUGCUGGUUCGUGAGUGAAAGACGCGUGCCGAUGUAUCUCAAAACUCAUCUUCGGGUGAUGUUUGAGAUAUUUGCUCUUUAAAAAUCUGGAUCAAGCUGAAAAUUGAAACGACACACUGUUUAAGUGUGUUCGAGUCUCUCAAAUUUUCGCAAUCUGAAGACAUCUUCGGGUUGUGA